rnacentral:rRNA from 1 species
UACGUAGGGUGCGAGCGUUGUCCGGAAUUACUGGGCGUAAAGAGCUCGUAGGUGGUUUGUCGCGUUGUUCGUGAAAUCUCACGGCUUAACUGUGAGCGUGCGGGCGAUACGGGCAGACUGGAGUACUGCAGGGGAGACUGGAAUUCCUGGUGUAGCGGUGGAAUGCGCAGAUAUCAGGAGGAACACCGGUGGCGAAGGCGGGGCUCUGGGCAGUAACUGACGCUGAGGAGCGAAAGCGUGGGGAGCGAACAGG